rnacentral:rRNA from 1 species
GACGAACCGUGCGAACGUUGUUCGGAAUCACUGGGCUUAAAGGGCGCGUAGGCGGGUCAUCAAGUCCGGGGUGAAAGCCCCCAGCUUAACUGGGGAAGUGCCUUGGAUACUGAUGGUCUUGAGGGGGGUAGGGGCAGUGGGAACUUCCGGUGGAGCGGUGAAAUGCGUUGAUAUCGGAAGGAACGCCGGUGGCGAAAGCGCACUGCUGGACCUUUUCUGACGCUGAGGCGCGAAAGCCAGGGGAGCAAACGGG